UACGUAGGGGACUAGCGUUGUCCGGAUUUAUUGGGCGUAAAGAGCGUGUAGGCGGCCAGAUAGGUCGGUUGUGAAAACUGGAGGCUUAACCUCCAGCCGUCGACCGAAACCAUUUGGCUAGAGUCCGGAAGAGGAGAGUGGAAUUCCUGGUGUAGCGGUGAAAUGCGCAGAUAUCAGGAAGAACACCCGUGGCGAAGGCGGCUUCCUGGACCGACACUGACGCUGAGGUGCGAAAGCGUGGGGAGCAAACAGG
rnacentral:rRNA from 1 species